rnacentral:rRNA from 1 species
GUCUGCAGCCAUACCACCCUGAACAUGACUGAUUUCAUCUGAUCUCAAAAGCUAAGCAGAGUUGGGCCUGGUUAGUACUUGGAUAGGAGAAUUUGCUUUUGACAUAUA